CUGCCUGCCAUGGGGGGAACCAGGGUCAGAGACGAGGGGGACCCAGAACCCCUGUAGGGACCCCCAGACACAAACCCCAGGUACCUAUACCAAUCCCGCUGCCCCCGCCUGCCAUGGGGGGAACCAGGGUCAGAGAUGGGGGGGACCCAGAACCCCUGUAGGGACCCCCAGACACAAACCCCAGAUACCUAUACCAAUCCCGCUGCCCUCCCCGCCUGCCAUGGGGGGAACCAGGGUCAGAGACAGGGAGACCCAGAACCCCUGUAGGGACCCCCAGACACCCCCCCCAGAUACCCAUACCAAUCCCGCUACCCCCCCUGCCUGCCAUGGGGGGAACCAGGGUCAGAGACGGGGGGACCCAGAACCCCUGUAGGGACCCUCAGACCCCCUCCCAGAUGCCUAUACCAAUCCCGCUGCCCUCCCCGCCUGCCAUUGGGGGAACCAGGGUCAG